GUUGUUGGGGGGUUCCUAUACCAGCGACUGGUAGUGGGAGCCAAAGGAAUGGAGCAGUUUCCCCACUUAGCCUUCUGGCAGGAUCUUGGCAACCUGGUAGCAGCAUGUGGUUUUGACCUUUUUUUCAAUCUUCUAGAAAGGGAACGGAAGCAGAAGUGGGACAUCGAGGGCUCUGCUGUCCUCUGCGCUGGGUGUGGAAUGCUGCUGCACCUGUCCCUUCUGCUGGCUCAGGGAAGUGUCUUCUUGCCCACAUUU
rnacentral:lncRNA from 1 species